ACAAUAUCCAAAAAACUGGGUAUGCAAGUUUAGGGGAUCUCAAGACCCCUUCUUCAAUCGUAGGAAUGUGCCAUCUCAAGACGUUAUAUUUAAACUAUAAAGAAGUUCAAAUGUAAAGGAAAAAGAAAAUGCAAUUUCUUCAUAAACAUUCUGUGUGUCUCUUACUACCAAUCACAUACUCUUUUGUAAACCCUGAAAAAUUUCCCUGUAAAUAAUAUAUAUAUAUAUAGUGUGUGUGUGUGUGUGUGUGCACGUGUGUGUGUGUAUAAAGUGUUGGUAGCUCCCUUCCCCAAAGAUCAGCUGUUUUCCUUAAUCAUCUGUAUUAGUGUCAACAAACGGCUACAGAUACAUAUUUCUUUGAGAAUUAAAUACAUAAUUGUGAGAUUCAAACAAGCCGAAGGGCAAGAGGAAAAAGCACUAUGUGGAUGGCACAUUUGGGGUAAAUUACCAAAACAUCUGUCUUUCUGAGUCACCGGUUCCCUCUUUUGCAGACUGCCUUUCCAGGAAAUUCUUUAUUGCAAGCACAGCCCCAAAGGCACUGGGCAGUCUCCUCACUGCCAUCGCACCCGGUGGUUCCAGUAUUGCUAUCAGCAAACGUAUCGGCUCCCUGCACAGUCCGGGAGCCAUCGCACCUGCUCUGCCCAGCACGCUGAGUGCCCAGGACACGGGCGCUGCCGCUGGGUGGCCUUAGGCUCGCUCCUGCGCUCACAGGUGCCCUGCGUCUUUUUAAAGAGGGGUUCCAUGAGCGGGAACGAGUUGAAUGCACGAGCGCCACUUCCGAUGGAAAAGGAAUAAUGUGAACUCGCCCUGCUCCUCCCCUCCUCUAAAGCUGGCCGGCCGGGUGGGCUCGAGUGUGGGUGUGAGGCCUGGAUGGCAAAUGGGAGACGAACCGACCAAGCGACCUGAACAUAAAGAGAGACUCGCAGAGAAGCCGUCGGGGCCGUCCCCGCGGGAGGAGCCUCUGCCACAAGGCCGGGCGGGCAGCUCCACCGUGGGGCCCGGGAGGCGAGUGUGGGGCCGGGGCGCCGUCACUGCAGGGCCCUGACGAGGUAGAGCUUCUCCCCGUGCUCGCUGGUGAAGAUGGGCGCCUUUUUGUAGUGUUCCACCAGCUCGUCCAUGGUGUGGAAGCGCCGCUG
rnacentral:lncRNA from 10 species